rnacentral:rRNA from 1 species
AGAGUUUGAUCAUGGCUCAGAUUGAACGCUGGCGGCAGGCCUAACACAUGCAAGUCGAGCGGUAGCACAGAGAGCUUGCUCUCGGGUGACGAGCGGCGGACGGGUGAGUAAUGUCUGGGAAACUGCCUGAUGGAGGGGGAUAACUACUGGAAACGGUAGCUAAUACCGCAUAAUGUCGCAAGACCAAAGUGGGGGACCUUCGGGCCUCAUGCCAUCAGAUGUGCCCAGAUGGGAUUAGCUAGUAGGUGGGGUAACGGCUCACCUAGGCGACGAUCCCUAGCUGGUCUGAGAGGAUGACCAGCCACACUGGAACUGAGACACGGUCCAGACUCCUACGGGAGGCAGCAGUGGGGAAUAUUGCACAAUGGGCGCAAGCCUGAUGCAGCCAUGCCGCGUGUGUGAAGAAGGCCUUCGGGUUGUAAAGCACUUUCAGCGGGGAGGAAGGCGGUAAGGUUAAUAACCUUGGCGAUUGACGUUACCC